GUUUGUAAGCCGCUUUGAGACUCCUUACGGUUGAGAAAAGCGGGGUAUAAAUCCCAUGCCAAAGGUUCGCCACCACGGGGCUAGGUCAACAGGGCUACCAAUGAGGAUUAAAAUGCAUCCCGUUAAAAAGAGUUUCUUCCUACAGUGUUAGGCCCCUUCUGCACACGCAGAAUAAUUCACUUUCAAUCCACUUUCAGUGCACUUUGAAGCUGGGUUUUACUGGGCGGAAGAGCAAAACCCGUUUGCAAACAAGUUGUGAAAGUGGAUUGGAAGUGCAUUAUUCUUCCUGUGCAGAAGGAGUAAUUACUAUUUAAGAGUAAUUACUAUUACAAUGAAAUGUCACCCGCCUCCUAGAAUAGUCAUUUUCUGGUCAUGCCCACCACCUAUGUCAGAAUUCCUAAAAUGGGCUCCAUCUCAAAAAGGCUGGGGGCCCCCCUGUGUUAGAGGGAAAGCAAGGGAGAGCACACCCGCUGGGUAGAAUUGGGCAGACCAACACCUCUUCCCCCAGGUAAGAAAUAAGGGUAUUCCACCUGUGUGCCCCUGGAAGUCUGCAAUCUGAAGUAGUGAGGAGGGUUCCGUGUGGGGGGGAGCGCGAUUGCCCCUAGGUAGAGGGCGGGCGGGCGCUGUCCUCAUUUGUAAAAUUGUUUCUGCCACCCCCCUUAACCUUUGAGCGGGGUGAACAAACAAGUCCCGCGAGAAUGGUUGUUUUUUUUUUAAAAAAAUCUAUCUCCGAUUUUUUUCCCCACAUUCUGCUUCUUUUUUAAAAUAUGAGCUAUUCUGCUUUUCCUAAUCAAUCUGGAAUCGCCAUAUUCUGUGAUCAUCUCUGAUUUUAAAACUGGGUAAUGUUUUAUUUUCUGGUGUACUUUUUUUUUUUAAAAAAAGACUAUUUUAAGAGACGAGAAGCGAUAGGAAACACCAGCAAACAAAGACGCCUGAGGGGAAAAUAAUGAAUUGUGUUCUGAAUGUCAGACCGGGGGGAGGAUCAUGUCAUAAUUCUCCAAUAAGGAAGUUUAAGAAGAAGAAAAAAAAACUUAUAAGAUUAUAUAAUAUUUUCAAAAGGAUGUUUUAAUUAUUCAUGUCUGAGUGAUUGUAUUUAGAGCAGCAAUAAGGACUCUGUAAUCUCAAAAAACUCAAAUAAAACCAUGUAAAAACCAAA